ACUGUAAAAUGAGCAAAUGCUUACUGUAGAACUUGUAUACAGCAAGUUGCUGUAGAUCUGCAAAGCAUCAUGGUCUUUUUUCAAUGGCGGGUAAAUUCUACAGUAAAAAUAUUUUUUCUGUGAAUCACAAUACAGCAAUUUCUAGAGGAUUUUUUUCUUCAGCCAAGGAAAGCUACGAGAUUCCACACUUUCAUCUGAAUUUUUACUUCAGAAAGGGUUGAUGACGUAUGGACCCUGCAUAUGCAAGUGCGACGACCUCCGCAGGCUGAAACCAGUCUCUCGAGCUGAAAGAAAACGCAGCUGAGGAGAUAUGAGACUGCAGACAAGAGCCAUCGACCAUCGUUCCAGAAAACUUCCACCUAAACAGAUGCUGAGGCCCAGAUUUCCCUGCCAAGCACUCCAAGGCUCAUCAUGCUCGGAGAGUCCAUUCUGGGGGCAAAAAAUGGAUGCUUUCCAUCGAGGGCAGAGUUCUCCUCCAAUUGAGUGACCGUUGUGAUUUCACUUCUGCUCUAGCCAUGUAUGAUGCAGCCACUACAUUGGAAUUUAUCCAGAGGGUAGAGUCCAGCCCAGGAAGUCAACUAGUUCAGGUCCAGUUUUAAAAGAAUAAUAGUUCUGAAAAAAAAAAAACCGUCUUGGAGAAAAACAAUAUUCAGGUUUGAAAUCCUGCUGUAAAUGUAAAUCAUUUAAUUUUUAUGCAUUUGUAAUUUACCAGAAACAUUUUAAUAAAUAUUGAUUGUUUUGUGUGUUCAGAAAAGU